rnacentral:rRNA from 1 species
AUGUGUCUUCUUGCUGUACUUUUGAUUUUGAAGGUGCCUUUCUCACUUGAGGAACUGGAUUACAAGGGCCUUGAGCUAGAUCUGAUGGUGUUCUGCGCGAAUCAUGGGAAGCCAUCAGAGAGGCUUGUUGCGUUUCGAGGAACAAUGACUGGGAGAAGGUUCUUAGCAUGUGCCGAGACGGAAGGUCAAAAUUGUGGGUUUGUUCAGUGGGUUGAUGAGCAGUGUCCCCCAACAAUGGAGAAUUCAUUGUUGAAGCUUUGCUCAAUGGUUGAAGAGAGCAAGUGUGCUAGGGUGAAUGAUAAUCUUGAAAGUGCUUUCACUAUUCACGAGUUGACAGAAGAAAAGAACAAGCUGGAUGCAGACUGUGACAAGUUAGUGAAAGAUGUGCAUCAACUUCUGGAUAUGUAGGAGGAUAGGGUUGUGGAUUUCAGUUAUCUGCAGUCCAACAUUACAUAUCAGUACCAAUGCGGAGUUGAAUUGGUUGCUGGUAUGAAGGCAAAAAUGGCAAAGAAAGAUGCAGCUACAGAGAAGCUUCAACAGAAGUAUGAACUCCUGUGCAACCUGACAAGUGCUCAAGCAACUGCCAUCCAGAACCUGAAGUUGAAGAAUAUGCAAGAGAAGGAAUUGCUUAGAGAGGCUAGGAUGAAUUUGGAGUUGAAGAAUGUAGAGUUGACAAAGUUUGAGGAGAAGCUCACCCAAGAGAAGCUAGAGUUGAAGUUCUAG